GUCUUUAGUGGCUUAAUGGUUAGCACGUUAUCCUAACACCUUCAGGGUCCGGGGUUCGAUUCCCGCCGGGGCCA